UCAGGAUGUCAAGAACCCUCCAUGCCAAGAAGAAAGGAUGCCUCCUUUUGUCACACACACCUCUCUUAUUUCAUGCUAAAAUCAGAUGUGAUAUUCCAUGUGAAUAAGAGGCCACCCUUUUAUAGAUGAUGCCCACAUGAUCUGAUUAGAGAUCCAAAGGAAUAUGACUUCAAUUCAAAUCAAAUUUGAAUUGGUUUCUAUCCUUAUCCAAGGAGGAAUUCGAAAGGAGAAAGGAUCGAUGCCAAUCUUGGCGCCCUCUCAUUUUCAUGCACGCACACAAGAGGUUAGGCAAAAAGAAAAUAGUGCCCCAUCCUUUUCGUGGUUGGCCAAUAUGAGAGAGAGUUUCU
rnacentral:lncRNA from 1 species